AAAUCGUGACAUUUUGUUUAAUGGCUUCGUCUUUAAUUGUUGUAAAUUUACUUGUAUAAAAUAGAGAAAAACAAAGACUGAAACACCAAGAAUGGAUACAAAUUUCGAAAACACACAUUCUACAGAAGCGAAGAAAAAAGUUCAGCUAAUGGUGGAAUGCAUUAAGUACCAUCUUGAUGAUGAGGAAUGCCUUCGGAAAAGUCUUCUUGCAGUUGCUUCAUUAAGUGCUACUAACACUUUUGUUCAAGACUAUCUGAGAGAAUAUGGUUGUUUAAAGUUUAUAUUGAAUAUAUUCACUUCAAACAGCAGCUCUCAAAUAAAAGAGGCUACAAUGUUCUGCUUGGCUUGUGCAAUAGAUCAAAAUGUUUCUUCCCAAAAAUUCAUGACUACAUCUUUUGUCUUUGAACAUUUAAGCAAAAUACUGUCAUAUGACAUACAUACCAAUAACUUACAUCAUACAGCGACAUACUUCAUCUCCUGCAUAACCAAUAACAAUAGUUAUGGUCAGAUGAUUUGCAGAAAAUCCACUUGCUUGAAAAAUCUUCUUGCCUUAUUCAGAUCAAUAACAGACAAGAAGACAAAGGAAAGAGACAUUUUGGAAAAUGCCAUUGUACAGAAUGUUGAGCUUCUUGUUAUUGUCUGCAAUGCAAUAUGUACUUGUGUAAACAAUCCAAGAAACACUGAGAAUCAAGAAUAUUGUGCAAAAUAUGUUCUGAAUUUGAGUUUGCUAUUCAUCAAACAAUGCCAACAUCUUUUAGCUGUGCAAAGUGUAGUAAGACUUAUUGCAGUACUUGUUGCUUCUAAUGAGACCAACCAAAAUACAUUGCGAGAAAUGGAUGGAAUUGAUGUAUUAGUAAAGACAAUGAAGAUAUACACACUUGCUACAGACAAUGUUUAUAAUGCUGAAUAUUUGAAAACUGCUGUUUUAUUAACUUCAGCUCUUGAUACAUGUCUUUUGGAUAAUAUGACCAAUGCUGAAUUGUUUGGUAAUUAUGGUGGAAUAGAAAUUUUAGUGAAGCUACUUCAUCUCUGUCACAAUGAUACACCCAAUCAAAUCCAAAUAAUUCUUGCAAUAGCACAUGCUACAGACCAUUCUGAUAUCAACCAGCGAUAUUUUGUUGACUGUGGUGGCCUUGUUCUUGUGGUCAACUUGUUCAUUGAAUCUCCUGAAAAUACAGAACUACGAUCUGCUUUAAAGUAUGUCCUACAGAUUUGUGUCCCAGAUGGUUCCAAUCCUCUUAAUACCACAGAAAACAGUGUGGCUGACAGCCAAUUGAAUGAUUACCAAAUGCAACCCACCAAGGAAAACACAGAAUUACUCUCAGAAAAACUUGACUGUAUUCUUCAAAAGUUGGCCAAGUUAGAAAAUGAAGGGAUUAAAACCCACUCUACAACAAAUUCAUCAACAUCUAUAAAAGAAUUCCGACUGGACCAUGGCAGACACAAAGUAAAACAACACAUUUCUAGUUUCAAGAAGUUACACAGCUCUCGUCCUGAAAGCCAAAACUCAAAGACAUCCAAAUCAGCCAAUUGUAUCACUACUGAUCACAAUGGAACAUAUAUUUCAGCCCCUAAAAGUCUUACCAAUAUGGAUGAUUCCGCAUCUCAAUGCACUAAUUUCCAAGAAUAUGAUUAUAGAAAAAGAGAUUGCUUUUUAUCUGUGCCAGUCUCUGCUAAUAGUAGUAUAUUCUCACCACUGAACAAAAAAUUACUUCAUACUGCCAAUAUAUCCAAAAAAUUUGGAAUGUCAUCAAAAUACCGAUAUAAAGGUUUAGCUCCUGAAGAAUUGACAGAUCCCAGCUUACCUAAUAAUGCUAGGUUUUCAAGUGAAGUUUCAUACAGUCAUGCUUAUUUUGAUAAUUUGCCAAGGAAGCUGUUUGGCAGACCUUCUGCUCCUUCAAGAAAUGAACAUUACCAGCAAAACUUGAUACAGGAAAAUUCUCCAAUAUCAAAAAAGCCUUUACCUAAUUCUGCUUUGGAGCAGUCGACAUGUGAUUCACCAGUUCUUUUUCAAGAACCUUCAGCUUCAGGUGGAAAGAAUGAAGAAAUAUGGUCAACCACAGAAAGCCCUUCAAAUUUCAAAAAGAAAUUUCCAUCUUCUGAUAACCAAAAUAUCAUGUCAAACCAAAAUUCACUAAAUGUUACUGAGUGUUGCUGCACUUCUAAAAAGUUUACACAGUGUCCUGAACAUCACUCCACCAAAUCAUCGCUCUCCUUUUUUAUUAAAACACAAUGGCGAUCAGCGUAGGAGAAAGCGUUUAGAAUACUCAAAGGAAGAAGUUGAAUAUUUAAAAGAUGGUGUGCUUAAAAUGGGCAAGUCCUGGCAUCAAAUACGACAUGCUUAUGCGUUUCACCCAUCAAGAACAGCCGUAGACCUCUACAAUAAAUACAAACAAAUUAGGAAAAGUUCUUGUGAUAAAAGAC
rnacentral:misc_RNA from 1 species